CCCUUAGAUGUCCUGGGCCGCACGCGCGCUACACUGAGUGUCUGAGAUACGAGUCUGCCUGGUCCGGCAAGGUCUAGGUAAUCGCUAAAAGACACAUCAUGCUUGGGAUAGAUUAUUGCAAAUAUUAAUCUUGAACGAGGAAUUCCUAGUAAGCGCAAGUCAACAGCUUGCGUUGAUUACGUCCCUGCCCUUUGUACACACCGCCCGUCGCUACUACUGAUUGGAUGUUUAAGCGAGGUUCUCGAACUGCUAGCGACUUAGCUUCGGUGAGGUCGCAGUGUGGGAAGUGAACCUAGCUUUGGUGUCUAGAGGAAGUAAAAGUCGUACA
rnacentral:rRNA from 1 species